rnacentral:rRNA from 1 species
AGAGUUUGAUCCUGGCUCAGGAUGAACGCUAGCGACAGGCUUAACACAUGCAAGUCGAGGGGCAGCGAGGGAGUGGCAACACUUCUGUCGGCGACCGGCGCACGGGUGAGUAACGCGUAUGCAACCUGCCCUUUCACAGGGGGAUAACCGGGAGAAAUUCCGACUAAUACCGCAUACGUCCUCCGGGGCAUCCCCGGGGAUGAAGAUUAUCGGUGAGGAUGGGCAUGCGUGAUAUUAGGUAGUUGGCGGGGCAACGGCCCACCAAAGCCCACGAUAUCUAGGGGUUCUGAGAGGAAGGUCCCCCCACAUUGGUACUGAGACACGGAUCAAACUCCUACGGGAGCA